CCUACGGGAGGCAGCAGUGAGGAAUAUUGGUCAAUGGACGCAAGUCUGAACCAGCAAUGCCGCGUGCAGGAAGACGGCUCUAUGAGUUGUAACCUGCUUUUGUACGAGGGUAAACGCAGAUACGCGUAUCUGUCUGACAGUAUCGUACGACUAAGGAUCGGCUAACUCCGUGCCAGCAGCCGAGGUAAUACGGAGGAUUCAAGCGUUAUCCGGAUUUAUUGGGUUUAAAGGGUGCGUAGGAGGUCGGAUAAGUUAGAGGUGAAAUCCCGAGGCUCAACUUGGGAAUUGCCUCUGAUACUGUUCGGCUAGAGAGUAGUUGCGGUAGUCGGAAUGUAUGGUGUAGCGGUGAAAUGCGUAGAGAUCAGACAGAACACCGAUGGCGAAGGCAGCUUACUAAGCGACUUCUGACGGUGAGGCACGAAAGCGUGGGGAGCAAACAGGAUUAGAUACCCGUGUAGUC
rnacentral:rRNA from 1 species